rnacentral:rRNA from 1 species
AGGACGAACGCUGGCGGCGUGCUUAACACAUGCAAGUCGAGCGGAAAGGCCCUUCGGGGUACUCGAGCGGCGAACGGGUGAGUAACACGUGAGCAACCUGCCCUUAGCUCUGGGAUAGCUCCGGGAAACCGGAAUUAAUACCGGAUACGACCUAGGCCGACAUCGGCCAUGGUGGAAAGUUUUUCGGCUAGGGAUGGACUCGCGGCCUAUCAGCUAGUUGGUGGGGUAAAGGCCUACCAAGGCGACGACGGGUAGCCGGCCUGAGAGGGCGACCGGCCACACUGGGACUGAGACACGGCCCAGACUCCUACGGGAGGCAGCAGUGGGGAAUCUUGCGCAAUGGGCGAAAGCCUGACGCAGCGACGCCGCGUGGGGGAUGAAGGCCUUCGGGUUGUAAACCCCUUUCAGCAGGGACGAAGCGAAGUGACGGUACCUGCAGAAGAAGCGCCGGCUAACUACGCGCCAGCAGCCGC